rnacentral:rRNA from 1 species
AAACCAACCGGGAUUGCCUCAGUAACGGCGAGUGAAGCGGCAAAAGCUCAAAUUUGAAAUCUGGCGUCUUCGGCGUCCGAGUUGUAAUUUGAAGAAGGUAACUUUGGGGCUGGUCCUUGUCUAUGUUCCUUGGAACAGGACGUCAUAGAGGGUGAGAAUCCCGUGUGGCGAGGAUCCCAGUCCUUUGUAAAGUGCUUUCGACGAGUCGAGUUGUUUGGGAAUGCAGCUCUAAGUGGGUGGUAAAUUCCAUCUAAAGCUAAAUAUUGGCGAGAGACCGAUAGCGAACAAGUACAGUGAUGGAAAGAUGAAAAGAACUUUGAAAAGAGAGUGAAAAAGUACGUGAAAUUGUUGAAAGGGAAGGGCAUUUGAUCAGACAUGGCGUUUGCUUCGGCUUUCGCUGGGCCAGCAUCAGUUUUGGCGGUUGGAUAAAUCCUCGGGAAUGUGGCUCUACUUGUAGAGUGUUAUAGCCCGUGGGAAUACAGCCAGCUGGGACUGAGGACUGCGACUUUUGUCAAGGAUGCUGGCGUAAUGGUUAUAUGCCGC